UGCUGCUGCCGCUUUAUUAGACCU
rnacentral:misc_RNA from 1 species